UACGGAGGGGGCUAGCGUUAUCCGGAAUCAUUGGGUUUAAAGGGUCCGUAGGCGGUUUGGUAAGUCAGUGGUGAAAGCCCAUCGCUCAACGGUGGAACGGCCAUUGAUACUGCCAGACUUGAAUUAUUAGGAAGUAACUAGAAUAUGUAGUGUAGCGGUGAAAAUGCUUAGAGAUUACAUGGAAUACCAAUUGCGAAGGCAGGUUACUACUAAUGGAUUGACGCUGAUGGACGAAAGCGUGGGUAGCGAACAGG
rnacentral:rRNA from 1 species